CGGGGCGUGGCGCAGUUGGUAGCGUGCUUGCAUGGGGUGCAAGAGGUCGCGAGUUCGAGUCUCGCCGCUCCGA
rnacentral:tRNA from 1 species